ACUGCGGAAGGAUCAUUAUCAAAACAGCGGACUUCGGUCCUUGCUGCACCCUUGUCUUUUGCGUACCGUAUGUUUCCUCGGCGGGCUUGCCUGCCGGUUGGACAUUAUCAAACCUUUUUGUAGUUGCAAUCAGCGUCAGAAAAUAAACAAUAAUUACAACUUUCAACAACGGAUCUCUUGGUUCUGGCAUCGAUGAAGAACGCAGCGAAAUGCGAAAAGUAGUGUGAAUUGCAGAAUUCAGUGAAUCAUCGAAUCUUUGAACGCACAUUGCGCCCCUUGGUAUUCCAUGGGGCAUGCCUGUUCGAGCGUCAUUUUGUACCCUCAAGCACUGCUUGGUGUUGGGCGUUUGUCCUGCAAAGGACUCGCCUGAAAGCGAUUGGCGGCCAACGUACUGGUGGUAGAGCGCAGCACAAUUUGCGUCUCUCCCUUCUACGUCGGCGUCCAUGAAGCCUUUUUUCAACGUUUGACCUCGGAUCAGGUAGGGAUACCCGCUGAACUUAAGCAUAUCAUAGG
rnacentral:rRNA from 1 species